CUGAGUAAGCGGGCCUUGAUCCCACGACAUAUUAAUUAACAGCUAACUGCCCAAACCAGCGGGCUUUUACUCG
rnacentral:tRNA from 1 species